GAAACAAUUUCAUUAAUAUUAUUUGCUUAUUCAUUAAAUGUUGUGCACAGAUCUCAUUAAUUUUUUAGGGUUAAAAAAAGAUUACCGUGCAUUUUAGUAUUUGCUGCUAUAAAGAAGGUUUGGUUGAAAGCAUUCCCGUAAUCAGGCACUCUGGAGACAACAUUGUAGAGAGGGAAACGGAUUGAUUUAUCCAGGCUAUCUUUUGCACAGGGCAACAUUCUAGUUUCCACACACUUAUUGCUCAAGGCUAUCUUUUGUGCAGGGCAACUUUCUAGUUUCCACACACUUACUGCUCAAGGUGAGUAAUGAAUUCUUAAAGUUGUUCCUUGUUUAUUUCUUCAAACAUAAUUGCUUUCCUCUUUGUCUACAUUCCAUAUUUCUAAGUUGGCACUACUACAAAUACAAAGUUUCUUAUAUUGGUUAACUAGUUUAGUAAAAUGCUUGCAAACACUAAUCCAAACAAACAAAAUGCGUCAGAUAACCCAAUUAUAGUAGAAACAUACAAAUCACAUGACCAACAAAAUAUGAUAUCAAUUGAUGAGGCUUUAGACAAGGUACAUUGUUUUUUAAUUGAUUCAUUCAAGUACAAAGUUGGUAACUGCUUAUUUGACACAAUACAUGUCUUGCUUCAUUGUAGAUAUACACCUAAUGAACUACGUAAUGGUCUUGUGGACCAUUUCUUACAUUGUCUUCACGAAGGUUGUCUUGUAGCUUUGAAGUCUUUUAAACAUGAAUUACAUCCAACAAUACUAUAUGAUUUGCAUAAUAUACAUGACAUAAAUACAUAUCUAUGUAGAAUGAGACUUUUGGCAACAGAAAUCAAUGCCAAUGGUGAAAUUGGACUUUGGGGUGACACAUUUUGUGUCCACUGGUUAGCAUGUUGGUUAAAUAUACCCAUAUGCAUUUGGUCCUUGAAACGCAAAAAACAGAUAUUUGCAUUUCAAUAAAGAUGCAUGUCAUGCUCCAAUAUCAAUUCUUUUCCAUGACACAAAUCCAGCUGCUGGACAUUAUGAGCCUAUCUUUUCAAGGAUAAGCACAUACAAUUGCAAAUUGCAGAUUGUAUAAAAUAAGUUUGCCAUUUCCAACAAGAUCUUCAUUCACUACGCACUACUCCUCAAGGUAAUGCUAACUUUCCCAAACACAUCCAUAUAUCUUGUACUCCUAUCAUCCUAAUUUCUUUAUAUACCAAACUGAAUUAUUUUAUCAGUUUCUAAUGAAUUGCUCAAUUGAAUCGAUUUUUUUUUUUACUAAUCUUAUUACAAUGUUAUUACUAUAUUUCAUAUUUGUCAUUGCCAUGUCUCAAAGAAUUUAGUUCUACCAUGGGUAUUGUAGACACCCAAAAAUGGUCAACGCUUGCGAAGUCAUACUUUAACAAUUGCGCAUUGCCUCAUUUUAGGUUUUUGCGUCGCAUUAACAUUUCUCCUAUGUCACGCACAUGGUCUUUAUCAUUUGCGAGCAUCGAGUCAUUCUUCUACAUUCUUCAAUCAUCUCGUCUUCGAAUUUGGUCUUGUCGACAACAUUAUCCAGUCAUGAUUUUGAUCAAUCUUAUCAUCAAUCUUAUCAUUUUGGACAUCGUCAAUCCUAAUUAGGGUUUUGUCCUCCUGUCAAUCUUAUCAACUUUAUCAUCAAUCUUAUCAUUAUGGACAUCGUCAAUCCUAAUAAGGGUUUUGUCCUCUUAUCAAUCUUGCCGUUUUACGACCGAUUUGUUAUCGAUCGUUGUCAUGUUCGAUAUUGUCAUUUUGCAAUCUAUUUUGUCAUCAAUCCUUGUCUUCUUGUCAAUUUUGUCAUUUUGCGAUUAUUUCGCUAUCGAUCAUUGUCUGUCUCAAUUAUGUCAAUUUGGAUCAAUUUGUCAUUGUUCCUCGUCAAUUGGCGCAUUUAUCAAUCAAAUCAUUUUGUCGCAUUGGUCAUUUAUCAAUUCAAAAUUAUGACAUUAAUUAUCUUCAAUCAAGACCUAAUUGUCAUUUUCGCAUUUCUAAUUCGUCUUCUAAGGUUUUAUGAUUUAUUCAUUUAACCUAAUUUGUCAUUUCUUCUCCUAGGGUUACUAAAUUAUUUAUUAAUCCUAAGUUACAAUUAAAUCUUUAUUUAAUUGGCUAAUUAUUCUUCCUCUUGUAAAUUAAUUAAUAAAUGACAAAUUGUUAAUUAAUUUACCUAAUUUCUUCUAGUUCCUAAUUUCCUAUUUUUCCAUCAAUUUCUAAUUCCUAAUUUGUCAUCAAUUUCAAUUUCCUAAUUUUUCAAAUUUCUAAUUCCAUUUUCCUCCUAUUUCAUCUCCUAAUUCCAUGGGAAUGGCAUUUCAAUUUGUCAUGAAAUUGUCAUAAUUGAUAAUCAAUCAAUUUUGACAUGGAAUGUGUCAUAAGUUUGUCAUCAAUUAUCAAUCAAUCAAAUUGUGCAUGGAAAGUGCAUAAUUUGUCAUAUUUUGUCAUAUUGAUUUGCAAUUUCCCUUUGAAUUGCAUCAUGCCAAUCUUGUCAUUUAUCCAAUUUCUCUAUAAAUUGGAUAAUUUUCUUCAAUCAAUCCCUUGGAAUCCUUGAAUUUUCGAAUUGCUUCAUGAAUCCCGAAUUUCUGUCAAACUACCGAACUUUCGUUUCUAGUACUCUUGAGCUUUUUGCUUUCAAUUGUGUGAGCACUUGUAGGUGAGAUCCACAAACCCAUUGAAGAGGAAAGAACAACAAUGGAGCCGCAUGGAAGAAGCAUAUGGUUUGCAUGAUAUUUUCUUUUAAAUGCUUCAUUUUCAUACCUUCAUUGAAUGUGCUUUAGAAUUAGGUUCAUUGCAAUGAGUAUUUUUUUGAUUGAGCUAUCAUGUUUAACGUUUUAAUUGAUAUACUUAUCUUGUGAUGAUUCCUAAUUCUUACGCUACAGGUAUAGCAAUACAGAAACUACUGCUUGAUACUUUUUACACCUCCAUGACGUAUGCAAAUGUACAUAUAUUUCUGCAAGCUAUUGUUUUAUGUGCCUUAAAAUGUGAUUUUCUGAAAUUCUCUCUUGUACUAUAGCUCAUUGCAUUUACAACA